rnacentral:rRNA from 1 species
UACGUAGGGUGCGAGCGUUAAUCGGAAUUACUGGCGUAAAGCGUGCGCAGGCGGUUCGCUGUGUCCGAUGUGAAAGCCCCGGGCUUAACCUGGGAAUGGCAUUGGAAACUGGCGGGCUUGAGUGCGGCAGAGGGGAGUGGAAUUCCGCGUGUAGCAGUGAAAUGCGUAGAGAUGCGGAGGAACACCGAUGGCGAAGGCAGCCCCCUGGGUCGACACUGACGCUCAGGCACGAAAGCGUGGGGAGCAAACAGG